rnacentral:rRNA from 1 species
UACGGAGGGAGCUAGCGUUGUUCGGAAUUACUGGGCGUAAAGCGCGCGUAGGCGGCUUUGUAAGUCAGGGGUGAAAUCCUGGAGCUCAACUCCAGAACUGCCUUUGAUACUGGAGAGCUUGAGUCCGGAAGAGGUGAGUGGAACUCCGAGUGUAGAGGUGAAAUUCGUAGAUAUUCGGAAGAACACCAGUGGCGAAGGCGGCUCACUGGUCCGGUACUGACGCUGAUGUGCGAAAGCGUGGGGAGCAAACAGG